CCCCCUAACCCCUCUCUCUUCUUCCCCCUUUCCUUUCUCGGCUAACCCCAGCCACGCCGCCCCCAAAAUCUCCCCUCUCUUAUGCCAAGAACGGCAAAAACGCAGAGCUAGCAGGGAUUUCGGGGUUCUAUAAAUUGAACCCUAACUUUCAUCGCAACAACAAGGUGGGAGAAGCCAAAAGAAAAAAAAAAACUAGAAUUUAAGUCCAACCUGAAAUUUAAGCUUAAACUAUAAUUUUACACUUAAAACUCCUCCUUUCGAGUUUGACUCCCUCAGUUGGAAAAUUUUAUUUAUUUUUGUUCUUUUCUUGUGGUUGAGUUCAAGAGUUGGAUGCACAAAGGAGCUUUCGAGUCCCAUUCUUGACCAAGGCUGCGUUUAAAAAAGUAAUGUUGAGGAUUAUCUGGGGUUGGUCUAACCUUCCCCUAGUACCAGCCAUGUCUGGGGUUCGUUGAAACCCUUUGAAUCUUAUGUGACAUUGGGAAUAAGGAUGGUGACAACCACCCUAAUCUCAUUCCAAAAUACUCAGCCCACACAUCACAAAAAAUGCACUAUGGAAGAAAUAUCAUGUCAGGACAGUUUGGCCAUUUUUAUUAUUACCAUACGUGUAUACCUUCUAUAUAUUAUAUGAAAUUUUAUAGGAUCUAGUCUAAUCGAAUUAUUUUUUCUCUCUCCUUUCCCUCUCUUACUCUUCGCAUGGCCAUUUGGGCCAAGGACACAGCCUUCCUAUCAGGCCAAAGGCCCAAUAGGACAAUUCUUUCAGACCUCUAUCUAGUACGAGGAAGGGAAGCUAAUAUGUUUAUUCACGAAGGCCUAACCAUGGGUGAAAAUGGUUAAGGGGGCUUGGUACACCCCAAGUCAUUUUAUUACUAUUGCAUGAUUGUAUUUGUAUUUGUAAACUCACAUUACUAUUGGAAACCAAAUGGUUAGAAUUAGACGUUUUAGGCAAACGAUACUUAAACCGUUUAGUUGGA